rnacentral:rRNA from 1 species
UACGUAGGGGGCAAGCGUUGUCCGGAAUCACUGGGCGUAAAGCGCGCGCAGGCGGUCAUCUACGUCUGGGGUGAAAGCCCGGAGCUCAACUCCGGGAUUGCCUUGGAUACGGGAUGACUUGAGGAUCGGAGAGGCAAGGGGAAUUCCACGUGUAGCGGUGAAAUGCGCAGAUAUCAGGAGGAACACCGGUGGCGAAGGCGGGUCUCUGGGCCGUAACUGACGCUGAGGAGCGAAAGCAUGGGGAGCGAACAGG